CCUACGGGUGGCAGCAGUGAGGAAUAUUGGUCAAUGGGCGCGAGCCUGAACCAGCCAAGUCGCGUGAGGGAAGACGGCCCUACGGGUUGUAAACCUCUUUUGCCGGGGAGCAAAGGGCGCCACGUGUGGCGCUACUGAGAGUACCAGAAGAAAAAGCAUCGGCUAACUCCGUGCCAGCAGCCGCGGUAAUACGGAGGAUGCGAGCGUCAUCCGGAUUUAUUGGGUUUAAAGGGUGCGUAGGCGGAGCGUUAAGUCAGUGGUAAAAUUGAGGGGCUCAACCCCUUCCGGCCAUUGAAACUGGCGCUCUUGAGUGGAAGGGAAGUAUGCGGAUUGCGUGGUGUAGCGGUGAAAUGCAUAGAUA
rnacentral:rRNA from 1 species